rnacentral:rRNA from 1 species
GCCAAACAGCUAGCUUAAAAACCAAAACAAAACCAACAACAUAUAUUAUUUUACUUAACCCCAAUUAACUAAACUAAAUCAUUCUUCCGCCUUAGUACGGGCGACGGAAAAGGCACUUAUAAAGCAAUAGACAAAGUACCGCAAGGGAAAGCUGAAAGAGAAAUGAAACAAACCAUUCAAGCCCUAAAAAGCAGAGACUAACUCUCGUACCUUUUGCAUCAUGAUUUAGCCAGUAAACCUGAGCAAAGAGAACUUUAGUUCAAAACCCCGAAACCAAGUGAGCUACCCCGAGACAGCCUAUUUUAGGGCCAACCCGUCUCUGUGGCAAAAGAGUGGGAAGAUCUCCAGGUAGCGGUGACAGACCUACCGAACUUGGUGAUAGCUGGUUGCCUAGGAAAUGGAUAGAAGUUCAGCCUCGUACUCCUCAACUCAUACUUAUACUAUUUAUUUACGAGACCGAGAAAUAUACGAGAGUUAGUCAAAGGAGGUACAGCUCCUCUGAACCAGGACACAACCUGCCCAGGAGGUUAAGGAUCACACUCAAUAAGAUUACUGCUCCAGUGGGCCUAAAAGCAGCCACCUGCACAGAAAGCGUUAAAGCUCAGGCAGAACUCUAAAUCAAUUAUCCUGAUAAUUAUAUCCUAAACCCCUCCCCCUACUAGGCCAUUCCAUGCUAACAUGGAAGAGACCCUGCUAAAAUGAGUAAUAAGAAGGCACCCCCUUCUCCCGGCCCAUGUGUAAGUCAGACCGGACCCACCACUGACAAUUAACGAACCCAACACCAGAGGGAAACGCGACCAGAAUAAAAACACAAGAAAACUCCGCACUACCCAAAUCGUUAACCCCACACUGGAGCGCCACCAAGGGAAAGACUAAAAGAAAAGGAAGGAACUCGGCAAACACAAGCCUCGCCUGUUUACCAAAAACAUCGCCUCCUGCAAAAAUCAAUGUAUAAGAGGUCCUGCCUGCCCAGUGACUAUUAGUUAAACGGCCGCGGUAUUUUGACCGUGCUAAGGUAGCGCAAUCACUUGUCUUUUAAAUGAAGACCUGUAUGAAUGGUGGAACGAGGGCUUAACUGUCUCCCUUCUCCAGUCAAUGAAAUUGAUCUGCCCGUGCAGAAGCGGGCAUAUAUAUACAAGACGAGAAGACCCUUUGGAGCUUAAGACAAAAGGCCAACCGUGUUAAAGACCCAAAUAAAAUGAAAUCAAACAAAACGGCAACUGACCAGCGUCUUCGGUUGGGGCGACCACGGGGGAAAAUAAAGCCCCCAUGUGGAAUGGGGUAAUCCCUAAAACUAAGAGAGACAUCUCUAAGCCACAGAAUAUCUGACCAAAAGAUCCGGCCUACCAGCCGAUCAACGAACCAAGUUACCCUAGGGAUAACAGCGCAAUCCCCUCCAAGAGUUCAUAUCGACGAGAGGGUUUACGACCUCGAUGUUGGAUCAGGACAUCCUAAUGGUGCAGCCGCUAUUAAGGGUUCGUUUGUUCAACGAUUAAAGUCCUACGUGAUCUGAGUUCAGACCGGAGCAAUCCAGGUCAGUUUCUAUCUGUAAAGCUACUUUUCCUAGUACGAAAGGACCGGAAAAAUGAGGCCUCUACCCAAAGUACGCCUCACUCUAACUUAAUGAAACCAACUAAAUUAAAUAAAAGAAGAGCAACCCCAGACCCAAGAUAAGGGAUC